CACUUCAAAUUUUAUUUCAAUCAUAGCCACUCUUUCAUUCAAUUCUAGCCAUUUUAAUUGCAAUUUUAGCCUUUCCAUAUAUUUUCCCAUCUGAUUUCAAGACUUCAGCUACUAAUCUCAUUCGUUCAUUUAAAUAUUUAAAUUCUAAUCGAAUCCUAACCCUAUAUCUCUAUCUAAUCUAACGGUUGGGAUCAACUUUUCCUAUCUCUCUCUUUUAACACCAAAAGAUCCAAAACCUAAAAAUUUUCUCCCUCUCUUCUCCUCACCCUUUAUCUGCCUACAUCUUCUCUCUCCCUUUCCCGGUAGCCGCCUCCCCUCUCCCGUCGCUCCUUCUCCCCUCUCUCUCUCUCCUCGGCGACCCCCCUCCUUCUCUUCUCUUCUUCCCCUCUUUCUCCCUCCAUUCUUCUCCUCUGCCCGCCUCUUACUCUUUUUCCGCUCUUCCCCUCUCUCUUGAGCAGCCGUCGCUCCUCCCUUCGCUCUCCUCGGUGACCCCCUCCUUCUCUCCUCUUCUCCCUCUCGUUUCCCUCUUCUUCCCGUCUUUAUCCCUCCGUUCUUCUCCUCUCUCUGCUUCCCUCUUCUAAACUCCCCCUCUUUCCCUCCUCUCUCCCCUCCCGUCUCUUCUCUUCCCCUUCCACUUCUCCUUUCUCUUUUUUUUUUGCAGGUGCCAGCAACUGUAGCAGUGAUACAGCAGCAGCCUACGAGAGAGACAGAAACACCACCAGCAAAAAAACAACGAGCUCCGACGGAGCCUCCUCUAUAAGAUUUCGAAGUUAUUUAAAACUGGUCUGUUACAGUUCCGUUCAGGGAUAGAAAUCUGAUUGAUAUUCACAAAAGUUGGUCUAUUUUUGCUUCAUGCUUUAAGGAAAAUUGGUCAAUUUUUACUACUUCAUGUUUAUGAUAAAAAUCUUUUUUAUUCUUUCUUGACAUUUUUACAUUGUUAAUUCGGCUUGAUAAUUGUUCCUCCAUAUCUAUCAGGAUCCCAUAAAUAUAAUAAUUUAGCUAAUUGCUUGGUCAAAUUGCGCUUUUGCUUUGAUUUAGAUUUAUGCGUAUUUUCUUUACUUACCCAUAAUUAAUUUAGUUUAAUUUAUUGGACCCUCUUGGUUAUGGUUAGUUUGAUUAACUAAUGGAAGAGUGUGCUACUUCUUUCCUUAUAUUUUCCUAUUUGUUAAUUAUAAUAUUGAUUGAUAGUAUAUAAAUUGUUUCCCUUUUCCUUUUUAAAAGAUAUAAUUAUUUUAUUUCCUUGUGGCUAAUAGUGUUUAAUUAUGGCAGCCCAACUCUUGCUUGCUCUUAUUUGGUAAAAAAUAACCUUACACUUGGUAAAAUAAAUACAUAAAAUAAAAAGUGAUAAAAUAUAUGAUUUGACUCUUCUUUAUUUAAGGGGAAAAUAAUAUUUCUCUUUCUAAUUUAUUCCUACCUGCUUAUAUUUGGAGGUGGUAUUUUUUUAUUUGGUUGAUUUGAAUCUCCUUUUGAGUAAGGAAAAUAGUAUAUUUAUUUAAUUCCUCAAAAUAUUCUUUUCCUUAUGUGUUCUCCCCUUUUUUACUAUAUAAAUAAGACUCCUUCCUUCAUUAUUUCACACUCUCACAUAUUGAUAUUCACUUUUUAAUACAAAUUCUCUCAUUACUCUAUACUCUCAUCUCCCACCUUGUUCAUACUUUAGAUAUUGCUCUCUAUUCUUGAAAAGAAAUAACAACUCUAGUUAGGCUUUGGAUCAUUCUUUCUUGUUGUAUUAUUGUUGUGAAUUGAAAACCUUACUAAAAUCCUUCAUUGCGGACAUAUAAUUUUGCAUAACCGGUUAGUACCUUCUAUUAGUUUAAUUUUUGCAUUGUUAGCUUUAUAUAUGUACCAUGUGAUAAGUGUUAUUCUUGCUAUCAUAUUUUAUGUGUUAUUACUUGCUCGUAUAUCUCGUAUGCUAAAUUGAAUAAAAAUGAGUUUAAUUUUUUAUUUAUUGUUAUCACCUAGUCUUCUACGUUUAAAUUAACUAAAAAAAUUAAUUGAUUAAUAUUAUGUCAUCACUUAGCAAGCAUAUCAAUAAAUAAUAAUGAAGUUACCUUGAUUGCUACUUGUAACCCCCACAUAGAUUGCAUGAGAUACAGUCGUUACCAAUAUUUGUGUACCUUGAGGGAUGCCUAACACCUUCCCCUUGAGGUAAUUUGAACUCUUACCCUGAUCUCUGGGUCGUUUACCUUAGCUAGACUUAGUUAAGUUAGAUAGGUGCCCUAACACGCCUCAAUUCGUUAGGUGGCGACUCCAAACUCAAAAUCUCAAAAGAGUUGUUAGGUCGUGCACAAAACUCGUUCUUAAUGAAAAAUAGGGGCGCGACAUCAUCUUACAAAGAUACCUAUGCCCUAUUACUUUUUCAUACUAUGAUGUCUCACAUAUAUCGUACCAUGACUUUUUUUCAAAGAAUGUAAUGAAAACAUUUGAUGUAGUAGCUUUCUUCCUAUAGUGAUUAUGCAAAACACCAUUUCACCUUGUAACCUAUUGUGAACGUUAAUGCCUUGUGUGUUGUAGUGAGUUUCAAAUUAAUAGUAUGAACCAACUUCAUCUAUGUUAGAAGGUAAGUUCAGGCAUAUAGUAAGAGUUAGCUCCUUUCUCAGUGUUCAAAUAAGGUUGACCAGCAUUCGAGGAGGAAUGACCCCAAAGCAAAAAUAUUGUUGUGUAUGCUUCUAUUCAUUUAAUUUUUAGUGUAUGUAAUGGUUUAUACUAGCUGAUAUUGCUCAGGUAAUUUGUGUUGUUAAAACGUCUAAUGACAAUCCUAAUAAAGAGCAUUGAUAAACGGUUAAGUGGAUACUUCCAUAUUUGAGAGAAAGCUUAGAUGAAUGCUUGUGUUUUUUAGGAUCAAAUUCAAUCUUAAACGGCUAUUGAUACCUAUUUACUCUUUCAAGGGCUAUAUCACCAUAAUCAAAGAAGAUGGGUUGAGUAUAUUGCAACUACUUAAGCUGGCAAAAAAAUGAUAUGACUCGAGAUAUACCUUCACGAACUUAGAUUGUGAUAGAUGGAGUAUGUUGUUUAUUGUGAUUAUAAGAGUGCAAUAAACUUAAGAAAGAAUUUGAUGUGCUAUGCAAGGACAAUAUACAUCAACGUGAGAUAUCAUAAAAUUUGUGAACAAAAUGGAGAGUGAAUUAUUUUAUUUAAAAUAAUUUCGCAUAAGUAAACAUCUUAUUGAUAUGUUAAUCAAAGUAAUACCGAAAGACAAGAUUAAGUUAUGCAAAGAACUUGUUGGCGCAGGAGGCUCUAUUUGAAAAGACAAAAAUAACCUUCUUGGGAUGCAUAUGACUAGAGGGAACGAUUUGUGGGGUCCGGACCAGAAUUAAGGGAAGAAAGUCUUCGUAGCAUAUUGCAAUGUACAAAGGAGCUCUUCAGCUCCUCAUUCAAAACACAUCAUUGAGAAAGGAUAUAUAGAGAGAGAGUGGUGAGUAUUUUAUCGAUUGCGAAAAAUUAGAGUGUAAGCGACAUUUUAAAAGAUGAAAAUUAAAAAGAAAUUAUUUAUUUUGAGUAUGCUAUGAACAUUUUGAGUAUUGUACUUGUCACUGCACAAAAUAUUUUAGCAUAGUAACAUCAGGUGCCUCUCUCCUGCC